rnacentral:rRNA from 1 species
CGUACGUAGAGUGUAAAGGCAAAAGAGAGCUUGAUUGCAAGACAUACAGGUCGAGCAAGGAUGAAAAUCGGACUUAGUGAUCCGGUGGUUCUGCGUGGAAGGGCCAUCGCUCAACGGAUAAAAGCUACCCUGGGGAUAACAGGCUUAUCUCACCCAAGAGUCCACAUCGACGGGGAGGUUUGGCACCUCGAUGUCGGCUCAUCACAUCCUGGGGCUG